AACGAACGCUGGCGGCAUGCCUAACACAUGCAAGUCGAACGAGACCUUCGGGUCUAGUGGCGCACGGGUGCGUAACGCGUGGGAACCUGCCCUUAGGUUCGGAAUAACUCCCCGAAAGGGGUGCUAAUACCGGAUAAUGUCUUCGGACCAAAGAUUUAUCGCCUUUGGAUGGACCCGCGUUGGAUUAGCUAGUUGGUAGGGUAAAAGCCUACCAAGGCGACGAUCCAUAGCUGGUCUGAGAGGAUGAUCAGCCACACUGGGACUGAGACACGGCCCAGACUCCUACGGGAGGCAGCAGUGGGGAAUAUUGGACAAUGGGCGAAAGCCUGAUCCAGCAAUGCCGCGUGAGUGAUGAAGGCCUUAGGGUUGUAAAGCUCUUUUACCCGGGAUGAUAAUGACAGUACCGGGAGAAUAAGCUCCGGCUAACUACGUG
rnacentral:rRNA from 1 species